rnacentral:rRNA from 1 species
UACGAAGGGGGCUAGCGUUGCUCGGAAUUACUGGGCGUAAAGCGCACGUAGGCGGCUUUCUAAGUCGGGGGUGAAAUCCUGGAGCUCAACUCCAGAACUGCCUUCGAUACUGGAGAGCUUGAGUCCGGGAGAGGUGAGUGGAACUGCGAGUGUAGAGGUGAAAUUCGUAGAUAUUCGCAAGAACACCAGUGGCGAAGGCGGCUCACUGGCCCGGUACUGACGCUGAGGUGCGAAAGCGUGGGGAACAAACAGG